UUUUUGGGAAGCGUUCCGUGCGACUGCUCAAGUUUGUCAUCAUGGCUCGUCCUCCGUCCAAGUUAGGCACUGCAGCGUACCGUCGUCUUCAACGCCAACUGCUACGAUCCGUCCGCAACACCGUCAUCAUCCCGUCAGCAUCGCUCGUCGUCAUGGCUUCUUGGUAUGUGCGUCGUGAUCUGAAUUGGUUGUUAAUCAUAUUUUCUGAGAUCAUGAUUAUAUUGUUCCUGUUGCCUAGUAUGUUAGAGUUUUGCAUGCUAGGAUUGUCUCUG
rnacentral:lncRNA from 1 species